UGAUGAUGGUGAGGACAACUAAGGAGUAAAAAUUUAAACCUAUCCCAUGAUUGGUACAAAUUUUCUCUAGAUUUUUGUUUAAAGCUUAAAAUUUUAUCCCUCAACUU